GUUUAGAGUUGGUGCUGGAUAACCCUGUUUGCUUUUUCUUCAGGCUAGAGUGGCAGAUUCCACAAUGAACUUUGGAAUCGUGCCCUGCAUGAGUGAGGCCUCCAUUUCCUCAGGAGAGUCAGCUGGCAUGGUUUUGCUUCAAGUUGUGGGUCCAGAUCAUUUGGGAAGCAGCAGAGACCUGGGGAUGCUCUUGCCUGGUGGGCAGCACAAGCACGAGAGGUGCACCACACAGGUGCGUUGAAAGCC
rnacentral:lncRNA from 1 species